GAUGAACGCUGGCGGCGUGCUUAAUACAUGCAAGUCGAACGGAGAAGCUCCAGCUUGCUGGAGUGGAUCAGUGGCGAACGGGUGAGUAACACGUGAGCAACAUGCCCCUGUCACUGGGAUAAGCGCUGGAAACGGCGUAUAAUACUGGAUACGAGAUGGGUCAGCAUGGGCACUUUCUGUAAAGUUUUUCGGUUGGGGAUGGGCUCGCGGCCUAUCAGCUUGUUUGUGAGGUAAUGGCUGACCAAGGCGACGACGGGUAGCCGGCCUGAGAGGGCGACCGGCCACACGGGGACUGAGACACGGCGCAGACGCCUACGGGAGGCAGCAGGCGGGAAUAUUGCACAAUGGGCGAAAGCCUGAUGCAGCGACGCCGCGUGAGGGAUGACGUCCUUCGGGGUAUAAACCUCUUUCAGCAGGGAAGAAGCGAAAGUGACGGUACCUGCAGAAGAAGCACCGGCUAACUACGUG
rnacentral:rRNA from 1 species